UGGCCACCAAUUUAGGCUCCACUAUACGGUACAAAAAUGUCAUGGACGUGGCAUCUUUGAAAAAUCCAAUUCUUCCCCCUUCCCUCCUUCUUCUUACUUAACCUCUCGUUUUCUAUAUGUCAGGAAAGUGAUCCCUUUUAUCUUCCGCUUCAAACACCGAAUAUCACAAUCCCCAAAGCAAAAGUCACCCUUAGAUUAGAGAGGAUAACAUAAUGUGGGAAAAAAGUGUUACUGCAAUAAUGGUUGCAACAGAGUUCUUAGAGGUGGGCUUAAACACUGUAAAUAAAGCUGCCAUGAACAAAGGACUCAGUGAUUUCGUGCUAGUAUUUUACUCGAACGUUCUUGGCAUCUUUAUGCUUGCCCCAUGUAUUAUCAUCUUCUACAGGUAAUAAAUAAAUUCCAGAUAUAUAUAUAUAUAUAUAUAUUAUAUACUGUUUUCAGCUUCUUGGGUAGCAAAGGGAAUUGAAAUUUGAACCAAGUUAUUUAUGAAUUGAUGACAGAAAAAGAAGCCCACCAGUGCUUACAUGGUCUACCAUCUGCAAAAUUUUCCUUCUAGGCGUUCUCAGGUACGUUUUCCGGGGACUUUGAAAUAGAGAUAAAAGAAAGGUGGAGAUGGGGGGAUGAUGACAAAUUGCUAAUCAACAUGGGUUUCAGUUAUGUAGGACAGAUAUGCACAUAUAUUGGAAUAGGAUAUGGAUCUCCAACUCUGGCAUCCGCCAUGGCUGAUCUUACUCCAGCCUUCACUUUCAUCUUCUCCAUCAUCUCUCGGUGCGCUCUUAUUUCUGUUUAUUUUCACUGCCUAUUUAAUUUGUUAUGGUCAAUGGCUGAUGAUUCAUUCAGAUUCUUUGAUAUAUCACCAUCAUUUACCUAGAUAAGCCUUUAUCCGUGGUUUCUUUUUUCUUACUUUUACUUUUCAGUGGCCUAUAAAAAUGGAACAUCAAAGCAUGUUAGUUGGUUGUCUGGUACUGGUGGUUCAAGGGUCCCUUCACUCGUGAGAUAAGAUAAUAAUGUAAACGAGAUGGUGGCAUUGGGCGAUUAAAUUUUAUUCGCCAAGCCUGUAAAAAUGAUUUUUUUUUCCGAGUUUUACUCUACCCGAAUAUAUUGUAAUAUAAUAAAUAUUAUAUUAUUUAUAUAUGUUAAAUAAUAAUUAUAUAUUUUUAUAUUAAAUCACUAAUUCAAUAACAAUUAAAUGUAUUGUUCAAAAUUUUAAAAAAUAAUUUACCUAAUUAAAUAACUCAACCUAAUAUAUAAAAUUUUAAAAUUAUAUUUAAUACAAUAAAAUAUUUAUUAUAUUUAUUUAUAUUUUUAAUAUAAUGAAACAUUUGUUAUAUUUAUGGUAGUUUUUUUUAAUAUAAAUAUUUUUAAUGUGUUAAAAAAAUUUAUUUUACCACUUUUUAGAGUGUAUUAUAUAUAUUUUAAAAAAAAUUUAAAUUAAAAUUAAUCUAGAAAAGUCAAAUAUGGGCUGACCGAAUCAAGUCUGAGUUUUACCUUUCUUAAAUUGGAUUAGACUUGAACAAAAAAGUAAAAUCACUUUUCAAGCCGGGCUAAGCUCGAGUUUGAAAUUUUGAUAUAAAUCCUUGCAUGGGCCCGACUUGACCUGACUCAUGAGCAUCUCUAGAAUAGAAUAAAAGAUUAGUUAUUAAAGUCUUUUACCCCUCUCUUUAUGAAAAAACAAUAUAAAAAAUAGACUAGUUUUGAUUGAAAUGAUAAGAUUAAGAUUUUAAAAAUUUUUAGGUACUCUGUUUAAGUCUCGUAUUUUUGGAUUUAAAGUAUUUUUUAUAAAUUUUAUAUUAAAAAUAAAAGCAUUCUCUUAAUAAUAUUUAUUACUUUUUAAGAUAAAUUACACUGGUAGUCAUCUAACUAUUGGUAAGUUUUUCUUUAGUUUUUUAGGAUAAACUUAGCUAAUAAAUUUAUUUUUUCCUUAGUUUUUUAGGUAAAAGGGUGACAAAGAAAAACAAAACUGCAAAAAAGAUCAAAUUACACAAUGUGUAAAUGUUGAAGGUUAAUUUUUUGAAUCAAGAUUAAAUUGGUGCAAUGUAUAAAUAUUGAGAGUUAAAGUUAAUAUUAUGCCAAUUUUAAAAACUAUCACGUCAUAUUUGUGUUAGCCACCAAAAAAGAUAAAAUUAAAUAGUUGGAUUAUCAUUUUAUAACUUUUUAUAGUUGAGUAACCAAAAGAUACUUACUAAUAAUUUAUUGACUAUGAACGUAAUUAAUCUUUAUUUUUAGAGAAAUAAUUUUUUAAUUAUUUUCCAAAUGUGCUAAUGUCCACUUACCUUAUAAUAUCAAUUUAGCCAGACAUUUUAAGUCUUAAUUUGCUUUUCUACUUACAAUACAAUAACUUCGCAAGUAGUUUAAUCUAUUGUCUGUUUUUAAAUUUUAUAUAGUUAUAUAAUAAAAUUGCUAGAUAUUAAGUUUUGAAAAAAUAAUAUCGACCGGCCUAAAUUUCUAAUGCUCCCUUUGGAUACCAUCUCACCGUGGGAGUAAAUUCAGUCUAGUGAAAAGUUAUUUUACAAAAGUAACCUUUUUUUAAUUAUUUAGCAUUAAAACUAUUAUCUGUCAUAAAUAUUAUUUUCAUAAUUUUGAUUAUUUAUUUAAUUUCAUAAAUAUUAAAUAAAUUAUAAUUUUAAUAUAUUUUAAAAUAAUAUCUAUAAUGGUCAUUUUUUCUUAUCACCGCAAUUGAAUCCAAACACAUAUAUUUGAAAUUCACUAAUACAAUACUUAAUAUAAUGGCUACAAUAAUUAAUCUCGUCAUCACCACUAUUUUUAAUCUCUCCAGAGGAAAUCUUACCGAUGAUUCAAACAAAACCUAAACCUAAUAAUUUGCAAGCAAAAUUGAGGCUUAAAUUUAUGCAUAAUAGAAUUGGAUAAAUAUAUGUAAAAAUAUUAUGAAUGUCCUUAUACUAGAAGUUAGAUUAUAUUUUGACUUUUAUACUAAAAAAGGAUAAAUUAAUCAUUGUAAGUUAGAUUAAAGAGUAAACUGGUCCCGCGGUUACAAAAUUUCAUCUAUUUUUAUUGUUAAAAAUUUGUAUUUGCACAUUAACAUGAGGUACACGUGACAUGCCACAUGUUAUUUUCAUGUGAUUCUGCCAGUUAUACAAGUUUUUAACCGUACAAAUGGAUGCAAUUUUUAACAGGAAUGAUCAAUUUAUUUUUUGAUUUAAAGUACACAGACUAAUUUAUCUAUUUUUUGAAUAAAAAGAAUAAAAUGUAAUCUAGCUCAUAAUAUAAGGAGCUCCAUAUUAUUUUUAAUUUGGUUUGAUCAGCCAUAAACAGCUCUAACAGCAAACGAUUUGAAAUGGUGUCUGUAGGAUGGAAAAGCUGGACUUAGGGAUCAAAAGCAGCCAAGCCAAGUCUUUAGGAACUUUGGUAUCGAUCACGGGGGCAUUUGUUGUGACUUUAUACAAAGGCCUUCCACUCACCACUUCUCCAAGGAAGUACAGCUUUCUUCACCAAGUUCUUGGGAUUCCUCACUCCAACUGGAUCAUUGGCGGCGUUUUCCUAGCCUCUCAUAGUGUUGUCUUCGCAAUUAUUCUUAAUGUUCAGGUACACACACCCCUAAUGAAUACACAAUCAACCUUUCGGUUUUUUUCUUGAGGGGGUUCAUGCAUAAGUAGCUGGUGACACUCAUUUUGCAGACGUGGAUAAUAAGGAGAUACCCAGCAGAGAUGCUUGUAACACUCAUUUGCAGCAUCAUUGUGGCCAUCCUAUCCUCUGUUGUCUCUUUGAUGGUAGAGAAGGACCCAAAUGCUUGGAAAAUUGGGUUUAAUAUGGAAUUAAUAGCUACCGUAUAUACAGUAAGCAUAGACUCGAAUAAAAAUACUCGACAAACUCAAUAGUUAGGCCUAGAAAGAAACAUGAUGAUGUACCUCUUGAUUUGUAGGCAGCUUUCGCAGUAGCAUUUCGAAGUGUGGUUCACAAAUGGGCGUUGCGGAAGAAAGGGCCUAUCUACGUUUCCAUGUUUAAGCCACUUGAGAUGGUCAUUGCUCUUGCUAUGGGGAUCGCCUUUCUAGGUGACAAACUUUAUCUUGGAAGGUCAGAGCAAUUUUUUCAUGCAGUACUAAGUAAAAAUAAAAAUCAUUAUAGGCAUUAUUAAGCUUUGAAUUGGAUACGUGUGGGUGCAGUUUGCUAGGAGCAGCGAUAAUAGCCAUUGGAUUUUAUGCCGUGAUUUGGGGGCAAGCUCAAGAAGAGAAAAUGGUCCAUGACGCACAGUCCUCAAAUAAAGAUCCUUUACUCCCAAAUACUACUCAUACCUUAGUGGUAUAGUGAUUUUUGGGGAAAAAAUAGAAAAGGAGUGGUGCUAGAAGUUGUGAAGGGGAAAUAUUGGAAUAAAGAGAUUAUAGAUACUUUUCUAUUUAACCUCAAUUCUCAAAAGAAAGUCUAGUAAAAUUGUGAUUCAGAUUUUCAUUAAAGAGGAAAAAACCACAAGUAAAUGAGGCUUCGACUUUUCACUAAAUGAGUAAACAAACGAGAGUACAAUCUGGAGAAAAUAAACUCAAAUGUACUAAACAUACAUUACCCAAAACCCCUAAUAUAAAGCUCCAAAUCCCGAAGAGCAAAUCGAUAAACAAAACCUUAAAUCUCAUAAGGCAUUCACAAAAAGGAUAUAAAAUACUCUCCAUAAUUACUAUGAAACUCUCACUAAAACUUAUAUGCGACUAUAUCUUGUCACUCUCAAAAGGAAAACCUUUUUUCUAAUUGGCAUGUUGAAAUAUGGAUACAAGGUCCCUUUAAAUAGGCUAAGAUUAUAGUUCUAAUCAUACUAAAAUAUCACUAGAAUAAUUAAAGUUUAACUAAGAAAAUAUAGCAGAGCUUAAUUAGGAGAAAAAUAGGAGGCACACCUCACAAAUAAGCUCCCCAAAUUCAACUUCUUAAUACCCUGUUCUCCCUAUUUUUUUCCCAACAUAAUACAAGAUCAAUUACUGAUACCACCUAGAAUAAUCCCCAUUCAGUAAAGAACAGGACCCCCAUAUACAGGGGCGAAGGUAAAAAAAAUUUUAGGGGGGACAAAAUUAAAUUUUAAUUUGUACGAUAGUAAAAAUAUAAUUUUACCAUUUGAAUAGCUUAUAUAUUUAUAAUUUUUAAAAUAUUAAAUCAAAUUUUUAUCAUUUUUAAGAGGGUCAAAGUGUAAUUUUACCUUUACUAAUAUAAAAUUUUAAAAAUUUAAAAGGCUUAAAUGAAAAGUUUUCCAUUUUAAGAGGGUCGGCCAUGCCAGUUCCCCUAGCCAUGCCCCUGCACAUAUAGAAAAUUUCAGCCACAUUUUACUCACAAAUACCAAAUAGUAGAUCCAACAACAGAAAGAGGAUAUUCUUAGAGAAAAUAUUAUCCAUGUCUCAAAGCACUUUAUACCAGGAAAUAUGUAUGUUUUGCUUUCUUUUUUACGCUUCCCACAAAAGAAUUCUGUUGCUUUAGAAGCCCUUUAUUUUUUCUUUAGAAAAGAACCUUGUAUUUGUAUGAAGAAAUCUGAGUGGACAUUGUCACACCAAAAUCAAGAUUCCUUCUUAUUGGGAAAUGGCUUCUGUUUAUGCAAGUACUGCUCGUGGGUGAGGAAGGUCAGUAGGAUGGCCGCUUCAUUGUCUGUAAUUCAUAGAGCGACAAUAUUAGAUGUGGAUGGCAUCUUACAUACAUACAUUUUAUACUAUUAGUCGUUAUAAAUUAUAUGGAUGGCAACAAAACUUUUUGUGUUGGGACAUAAAACCGAAAUAUAACACUCCUUCUUGGUAAGUAGCAUGGACGAUCUCAACCAAUAAUUACAAUGAUUAUUUUACGAUUUUGAUUAUUUUUUCCUUCAUCAUUGCCGUUGUUUAUAAAAGUUCUAAUACUGUUUUGCUAUAUAUAUAUAUAUAUUACCAAGACUGAAGGAAAUUACUAAUUGUAACUUGGUUAUAUCAGUCAUCACUCUACGGUGUGAUUGGAGGACUAGUUGUCACUGCUGUCUGAUUCCAGUUUAUAUCAGGAUACAUGGAUUACCAUGAUUCUAGUAUAUAUCAAGAUACGUGGAUAACCAAUAUGACAAUUAGUCCCCAUACCAGCUUAAUUAUAACUUCAGCAAUACAAUUCUUAUAUGAAAGCACUGGCUUACUCAAAAGUCAAAACCCAUAAAAACUUCUCAACAAGUUGGCCAAUUGCUCUAAAGCAAUUGUGAAAUGGAUGUGAAUUAUGGUUGUAAAUAUAUUUGUUUUUGGUUAUAUAUAUAUAUAUAUAUAUAUAUAUCAUAUGCAAUUCUUAUAUGAAAGAAUUGACUUGCUCAAAGCUAACAAAUGCUAUUAUAGUUAUUAUGUUCAUCAUCACCUUCAUUUUUUUCCCUUGUACAUGCAAUUCAUAAUCAUGAGUUUAACCUUUUGAUGAUUGUGGAUCAUUCACAUUAUGAUAAAUAUUCCUAAUGAAGAAAAUUGGAACCAUAAGAGACCAUUUAUUUAUUUAUUUGUGAAAAAAUAAAUCAUUGUUGUUACAAGUCUCAAUAAAAGAGGAGUUAAGGAGUAGUAGUAUAAAGGAUGCCAAUUCACAAAAACAUGCAUAGAGUCAAAAAAGUACAAAAGUAAGAAAGAGAUUGUUAUAGGGGUAAAAGAAGGCUGAAUUCAAAAAGAAAGGAUGCCAAUUCACAAAAACAUGCAUAGUGUAUGGUGUGCCUGAAUAGUGGCCACUGGCCACCAAUUUAGGCUCCACUACAAAAAUGUCAUGGACGUGGCAUCUUUGAAAAAUCCAAUUCUUCCCCCUUCCCUCCUCCUUCUUACUUAACCUCUCGUUUUCUAUAUGUCAGGAAAGUGAUCCCUUUUAUCUUCCGCUUCAAACACCGAAUAUCACAAUCCCCAAAGCAAAAGUCACCCUUAGAUUAGAGAGGAUAACAUAAUGUGGGAAAAAAGUGUUACUGCAAUAAUGGUUGCAAC
rnacentral:lncRNA from 1 species